rnacentral:rRNA from 1 species
GUCUCAAAGAUUUCCUUGCAUGUCUAAGUAUAAGCACUUUAUACUGUGAACUGCGAAUGGCUCAUUAAAUCAGUUAUCGUUUAUUUGAUAGUACCUUACUACAUGGAUACCUGUGGUAAUUCUAGAGCUAAUACAUGCUAAAAACCUCGACUUCUGAAGGGGUGUAUUUAUUAGAUAAAAAACCAAUGCCCUUCGGGGCUCCUUGGUGAUUCAUAAUAACUUAACGAAUCGCAUGGCCUUGCGCCGGCGAUGGUUCAUUCAAAUUUCUGCCCUAUCAACUUUCGAUGGUAGGAUAGUGGCCUACCAUGGUGGCAACGGGUAACGGGGAAUUAGGGUUCGAUUCCGGAGAGGGAGCCUGAGAAACGGCUACCACAUCCAAGGAAGGCAGCAGGCGCGCAAAUUACCCAAUCCCGACACGGGGAGGUAGUGACAAUAAAUACUGAUACGGGGCUCUUUUGGGUCUCGUAAUUGGAAUGAGUACAAUCUGAUGCCCUUAACGAGGGACAAUUGGAGGGCAAGUCU